UUUAGGAGGGAAAGACUGGCGGAAAGAGAAAUACACAAACCUCAGAAGGGAGCAGACAAUUCACACAUUUCUACAGUUUAACCUUCAGUGCCAAGAGAAACAGAAGUGGCUGGUUAUGAAAACCGGCAGCACAGCUUUUUCCCUCCCUGUGGUGUCUUCCCAGAUAAGAAAGCAGGCCUGAAUCCCGGGUGCUGUUCUUCCAGACCACAUGAAAGGAGCUCCUGUCUCCUCUGACUUCAGGUUGGACUGGCUAAUAGAAAGACCAAAAGGUGGCAGGAGAGCAGAGUUGAGCAUUCGUUCCCUGGCUCUCCCCCUGCCUCAGCACUGUGGCUCUGACAAUGACUGGAUCCCUCUACAACUUCGACUCUUAUCUAGAGCCUCCUUCCACAGUGAUUCUGCAUAUCUGUUACAUUCUAAGGCCACUUCACAACACUACCAAACCCAGCUUUACAGUUUGGAAGACUGAGAGAAUCAUACCCAAAGCCACAAACAUCCAAAUAUGGUGUUCUUCACAAGAAACUAAUAAUGAACUUGAGACAGAGUCUGCAGGGAUAGAUGAUGACUUGGGAUUCGGUGCUUACAGGAGACUGGCUCUUCACAUUCUUUGCAUCCACAGUUCCAAGGAGGCUUUAGAGCUCAAUACUUUCCAGCCAGUGACAUUUCUAAAUGCAUUUUCCAAAUGAAGUCAAUGCCCUCAGGCAGCCCAGUGGGGAGGUCAUGGAGAGCCAGUGAGAAGGAAGUCUGGGAGCUCAUGCCAAAAUAUUUGCUGGAUGGCACUAAUGACCACCACCACAACAGACUGCGUAGGAGAAAACACUGAGAAAUUGAAAUGGGAGAAUUCCCUGACACCCCUUGCUGAACGUGAGACAGGGAUGUGACUCAUCUGUUCAGUAACCACUGCUCCUCAAACCCCUUAUGUGAGGGGAGCAUGCAGACAGAAUGUAGACUGGUUUGCACAUCGGAAAAGACCUGGCUGUCUGAUCAGUUUGCUUUUCUUCCUUCUUUUCUACCCCUGCAGCCUAAGUGGUAAACCGGUCUGAGUAAGGAGGAGGAAAAGAAGGCCCUUGGAAAUUGCCAUUCUGGAAUUGAAAACUUAAAUCCUCCAGACAACCAUUAACUUUUAAAGGACAUCUAAAAGUGCAGCUCUGUGAUAACCAAGAAGAUGAUGGUGAUAGUUCUGCCUAUGACUGAAUACACAAAUCUCUUAAACCUCUACAGCUGCUCAACAAAACAAAGAAAUAAACAUUGCAUUUUGCAGAGAAUCC
rnacentral:lncRNA from 1 species